rnacentral:rRNA from 1 species
UGGGGAAUUUUCCGCAAUGGGCGAAAGCCUGACGGAGCAAUACCGCGUGAGGGAGGAAGGUCUUUGGAUUGUAAACCUCUUUUAUUAGGGAAGAAAAAAAUGACGGUACCUAAUGAAUAAGCAUCGGCUAACUCCGUGCCAGCAGCCGCGGUAAUACGGGGGAUGCAAGCGUUAUCCGGAAUUAUUGGGCGUAAAGAGUCCGUAGGUGGUCAUGCAAGUCUGCUGUCAAAGCCCACAGCUUAACUGUGGAUAGGCGGUGGAAACUGCGUGACUUGAGUGCGGUAGGGGUAGAGGGAAUUCCCAGUGUAGCGGUGAAAUGCGUAGAUAUUGGGAAGAACACCGGUGGCGAAAGCGCUCUACUGGACCGUAACUGACACUGAGGGACGAAAGCCAAGGUAGCGAAAGGG